rnacentral:lncRNA from 1 species
AUAAGGAAGCCCAUUCCUGCCAGGUGUUGCCAGUCUUCCAGAACACAACCCUAAUUUUCCUGUCCAAACACCCACAGUCAUGGCUACAGCCUGUGGACAAGUCCUCUACUGCUGAGCACUUGGCACAAGUGGUCUUGGAUAGGUUUGGAGAUCUGAUAGACCUUGGAUUGAGUUCCUGCCUGCCACCUAAAAGUUGAACAGGAGGUGGAGAGUGUUUUGAGGAAGGGAAGACAUCAAUGAAGCUGCAAAUCAUUAUGAAAUCCUUGGUUCUUGAAGCUCCACUUGAAGCCAGCCUUCUUGAAGCCAGCUUUCAAGCAAUUCUAUCUUCUAUAUUUCUCAAUUUCAAAUCCUUUCGUCGGGCAGCCCUGGUGGUACAGCGGUUUAGCACCACCUGCAGCCUGGGGUGAGAUCCUGGAGACCAGGGAUCGAGUCCCACAUCGGGCUCCCUGCAUAGAGCCUGCUUCUCCCUCUGCCUGUGUG